rnacentral:rRNA from 1 species
UGAGGAAUAUUGGUCAAUGGGCGAGAGCCUGAACCAGCCAAGUCGCGUGAGGGAGUACUGCCCUAUGGGUUGUAAACUUCUUUUAUAUGGGAAUAAAGUUUUCCACGUGUGGAAUUUUGUAUGUACCAUAUGAAAAAGCAUCGGCUAACUCCGUGCCAGCAGCCGCGGUAAUACGGAGGAUGCGAGCGUUAUCCGGAUUUAUUGGGUUUAAAGGGUGCGUAGGCGGGCAUUUAAGCCGGCGGUCAAAUGUCGGGGCUCAACCCCGGCCUGCCGUCGGAACUGGGUGCCUUGAGUGGGCGAGAAGUAUGCGGAAUUCGUGGUGUAGCGGUGAAAUGCUUAGAUAUCACGAAGAACUCCGAUUGCGAAGGCAGCUUACUAAACUGCCACUGACAUUGAUGCUCGAAAGUGUGGGUAUCAAACAGG